rnacentral:rRNA from 1 species
CGGGACGGGUGAGUAAUGUCUGGGAAACUGCCUGAUGGAGGGGGAUAACUACUGGAAACGGUAGCUAAUACCGCAUAACGUCGCAAGACCCAAGAGGGGGACCUUCGGGCCUCUUGCCAUCGGAUGUGCCCAGAUGGGAUUAGCUAGUAGGUGGGGUAACGGCUCACCUAGGCGACGAUCCCUAGCUGGUCUGAGAGGAUGACCAGCCACACUGGAACUGAGACACGGUCCAG